AUGGAAAAAUGCACGAUUAAACGCGUUUAAAUCAACGCGAAUCGUUUAAAUUAUGUGCACUGUAUUUAGAAAAAAAGAGUAAAGAAAAAGCAAAUUGGAGCCCAUGUGAUGAGAUGGAAAACGCAGUCUGGGUUAAAUCUCGGUCAAUUUUAUAAUCAACACACCUGCGAGGUCACCUGUUCACCUGGAGGAAAAGAUGGCGGCCGUUCCAAAGUGCUGAACUUCGAGGCCUACCAAUGGAAGCGAUAUAAAUUAGUAUUUUGAGAUGUAAAUCCGAAGAGAAUUAUAUUUUAAAAAGAAAUGCAUAAUAUGCCACCGUUUUUUAACAUUUGCUGCAUUGUUCAGGAGUGGAUUUUAUGCAAACGUGUUAUUUUGCUGGUCUGCAGGAGGCAGCCGGGAACAUUUCCUUCCUACAGUUUAACUUCGUUUCGAAGAUAAACAUUUUUAAAAUACCGCUUUCCAGGAAAGACUGUCCCAGACGUGGCCAAGAAGAACAUGACCCUGGUCUUUUCAAUUGUAGAAAUUGUUUGGUGAAUUGUACUGGUGCUUGUCUUCAUUUAAUUAUUUUAUGUGAAUUUGUCCACUGUUUUAUGUGGUAAUGUUCUUGCCUCAUGUGGACACUUAAAGCCAGUAUCGGAGCCAACCAAAGUGUGGAGGUUGAUGUCCAUGUGAUGUUAGCAGUGAGCCCUCCCCAAAGCCUCCUAAUGAACUAAAACUGCUAAUGAAAAUGAAUGGAGAUAGGCAAGGGAAAGCCAUGGCUGCUAACCCAAAUAACUGGGAGGUGUGGUCUCUGUGUGCUGCCUACACUAUAUACACACUGUAUAUAAAGGGGGGAGAUUGUGGCUAUCUCCCUUUGUUUUCAUUAGUGAUCUUACUUCAUAGUUAAUUAACUGAGGGUGGGAAAUGGUACCAGAUUUCUGUUCAGCCAGGUCAUGAGGCAGGCAGAAGAGCUUGUGCCAAAGCCCGACUCAACAUCCUGA